UAAAGCUCCAAACUGAACGUCAAUUUUCCUAUCAACAUGUGAAGAGUCUGCAGAAUCAAAUCGGGCUCUUUUGCUGCUGCAUUUUGUCAUUUGACAUUUUCUCUGACACACCAGACAGUGUUUGCAUCAUCAUUGCCCAAUAAUCCCUCAACAUUCAGACGAUUAUUGAUUUGUAAUCGCCGAGCGCCUAACUAGCUCCUGAGAGACACUGUAAAAGGCCUCCUGGAAGAGUUGAGUCAAACGUCCACUCGAACAUUGGCCAAGAUGCAGUCCCUGGGAGUGAAGCUGGUCGCUCUGGCCCUGGUCAUGAUGCUGGUGUCCAGCGCUCUGGCUGGACCUGUUGCUCAUUCACCUGUCAAGCGCUCUGAUGAGAGAAAUGAAAACACCGGCACUGCCACCAACACCAACACCGCCGCCGUUGACACUUUGCUGACUCCAGCUCAGAUCCAGCACCUAUUGACCGUGCUGUUGAAUACAAUGAACUGAAUGAAUACAGUGUACUAAAACUGUAAAAAUAAACUGAGAUCAUA